AAGAGAUAGGCAAAAUUGGUGUAGCACCCGGCUUGAACCCGGGGGUGGGGGGUUCGAGUCCCUCGUCUCUUG
rnacentral:tRNA from 1 species